CAGUCAGGCUGUUUUACUUACAUUUAGCAAAACACUGAGCCCUGAUCCACAAAGCACCAAACCUCUCUCCUGUCUGGUGCACCCAUGGCCUUCAGUACCUUGUUGGUAACCCUCUUGACUGUGUCAGGUGUUCUUGGCCAGAACGGAUGGGGAGUGACUUACACCCCUGAGAGAAUCUGUGCCUUAAAGGGGUCUUCAGUAGACAUGCACUGCACUUACUCAUAUCCAACAUCGCACACAGUGCAGAAAGCAUUCUGGUUUAUUAACUGGAGUUAUCCACAGGAGCCUGAAGACCUGUCCCUGGACCCAGAGUACUCUGGUCGUGUGAACUACCAUGGGAAUCUGAA